rnacentral:rRNA from 1 species
AGUCAGAUUUUUGGUGAUCCGGCUGGUCGAAUACCAAUAGAAGAUUAUGCCCCUGAAAUUCGAAGUGAAGUGAGGAGAGCUUAUUUGUUGAAACAAAGAAACAAAGCUAUCAGGCAUAAAUUUGAAGUGGGAUUGGACGGUAAAAUUUGGAGAUCCUUUCAACCACAAUGGCUAGAUAAGUUUGAUUGGUUGGAAUAUAGUGUGAAAAGGGAGGCUGCCUUUUGUUUCCCUUGUUUUAUUUUCAAGAAUCCAUCACAAGCAGCUAGAUUUGGCAAUGAUGUAUUUACAGUAGAUGGUUACAAGCGUUGGAAAACUGCUUUGGGAAAUUUUAAGAAACAUGUUGGUGGUCCAUCUAGUUACCACAACAUUGCUGUGGGCUUAUGUGUUGAUUUCAACAAUCAAAGGGCCAAUUGUGCAAGGUAUCUCAUAGCUCAAGGGGAAGCUUUUCGUGGACAUGAUGAAUCUUCCAAUUCCACCAACAAAGGCAAUUUCAGGGAGUUCUUGGACUAGUAUAAGGACAAGAAUAAGGAUGUGAAAGAUGCAUUUGAUAAGGGGCAAGGCAAUGCACUUAUGAUAUGUCUAGAUAUUCAAAAAGACCUUGCUACAUGUUGUGCAUUGGAGGUAACCGAAGUCAUCAAGGAUGAGCUUGGAGAUAAGAAAUUCUCGAUACUUAUUGAUGAGGCUAGAGAUUGCUCAAUAAAGGAGGAAAUGGCAAUAAUUUUGAGAUUUUUAGAUGAUCACGGAGAACUUCAAGAGAGAUUUCUUGCUAUUAAGCACAUCACAGAUUGUACAUCUGCCGAAAUUAAAGAAGCAUUGGUUCAUGUGUUGGAGUACCAUGGCCUGCCUAUUAAUAGGCUACGUGGACAGGGUUACGACGGGGCUUCAAAUACGAGAGGUGAAUUCAACGGUUUGCAAAAGCUAAUUCGUGAUGAGAGUCCAUAUGCUUUCUUUGUUCACUGCUUUGCCCAUCAGUUGCAGUUACUGGUUGUCACAGUGGCUCAGUGUUGUCCAGUUAUUGCUGAUUUUUUCAACUACCUUCCCUUGAUAGUGACUCAGGUGGGUUCAUCUUGCAAAAGGAAGGAUGCAUUGCUUGCAAAACAUCAAGACAACUUGAUAGAAAUGAUGGAAAAUUGUAAGAUAUCAUCUAGAACUGGGUUACAUGAAGAAACUAACCAAGCUAGACCAGGAGCUACUCGUUGGGGUGGAGCGUCAGGUUUGAUCAUACAGAUGGAAUGCUUCCAGUUUGUGUUCAUCAUGCUAUUCUUAAUAAACUUGUUGAGCAUCACUAAUUUGCUAUCACAAUCUUUGCAAAGAAAGAAACAAGAUGUUGUUGAAGCCAUGCGUUUGAUCUUGGAUGUGAAAGAAGCUUUGCAAAAUAUGAGGGACAAUGGGUAUGAGUCAUUAUGCGACCAAGCAAACAACUUCUGUGAGGAACAUGGCAUUGAGGUGCCAAAUAUGGAUGAUCUUGUAGGAGCUAAGGGGCAAUCUGUUCGCAGCAAGAAAAAGGUGACUCGACAUCAUUAUUUCAAGGUUAGCAUAUUCAAUGUUGCUCUUGAUGCAACUCUCACCGAGAUGAAUCACCGAUUCAAUGAAGUUAACACCGAGUUAGUGGAUUGCAUGUCUUGCCUUACUCCAACAAACAACUUCUCAAUGUUUAAUGUUGAAAAACUUAUUCGACUUGCUGAAAUUUAUGCUGAGGAUUUUACACAAGCUGAACGGUUGUUGCUAAGAACUCAACUUCCUACAUUCCUUACCAAUAUUAGGAGAAGUGAUGAAUUCGAUGGAUGUUCGGAUGUUUCCACCCUUGCUCGGUUGAUGGUUCAAACAACAAAACACAGAACUAUCCAAUUGGUAUAUCGCCUCAUCGAGUUGACAUUGAUUCUUCCAGUGGCAAUUUCCUCGGUUGAGUGAAUACUUUCAGCAAUGAAGAUCAUUAAAACUGAUUUGCGCAAUAAGAUAUCAGACGAUUGGCUCAAUGAUUUAAUGGUGUGCUAUUGCGAGAAAAGGAUAUUCAAAAGUAUCCCCGAUGAUCAAAUUAUGAUACGAUUCCAGAAAAUGAAAGAUCGCAAUGGACACUUGCCUCGUGAGUACAAUGUGAUCCAUGUAUGA